UGGGCAAAAGAAGUGCCAGAGGGGAGCUGCCAGGGGCCCACAAGCCUGGUAGCCGCGGCCUGCCCCCCUGGUCGCGGCUACAGGGCUUAUGGGCACCCUGGUGGCUGAUACUUCUCAAACGUAUCUAUAAUUUUUGAUGGUUUCACGCUGUUAUCUUGUCUUCUUUGGAUGUUUUAUGUACCUUUUAUAUCUUUUUUUGGGACUAACUUAUUAAUUCAGUGCCAAGUGCCAGUUCGUCUCUUUUCUAUGUUUUUGACUCUUUUCAGAUCUGAUUUUGGAACGGAGUCCAAACGGAAGAAAAACCCCGAAAUGAUUUUUUUCCCGAACGAAAGAAGAUCAGGGGGCCUUUGGGCGAAGCCAGGUGGGCUCCAGGGAGCCCACAAGCCCCCACUCCGUCACCAGGGGGGAGGCAGCGGUGGGCAGGCUUGUGGCCUCCCUGACCGCCCCCUGACCUAGAUCUUUGGCCUAUAAAUUCCAAAAAAUAUAGCAAAAAAUCAGGGGAGCCUCGAAAAUACUUUUCCGCCGCCGCAAGCUUCCGUUUCCGCGAGAUCUCAUCUGGAGACCCUUCCCGGCGCCCUGCCGGAGGGGACUUUGGAGUUGGAGGGCUUCUUCAUCAACAUCAUCGCCCCUCCAAUGACUCAUGAGUAGUUCACUUCAGACCUACGGGUCCGUAGUUAGUAGCUAGAUGGCUNNNNNNNNNNNNNNNNNNNNNNNNNNNNNNNNNNNNNNNNNNNNNNNNNNNNNNNNNNNNNNNNNNNNNNNNNNNNNNNNNNNNNNNNNNNNNNNNNNNNNNNNNNNNNNNNNNNNNNNNNNNNNNNNNNNNNNNNNNNNNNNNNNNNNNNNNNNNNNNNNNNNNNNNNNNNNNNNNNNNNNNNNNNNNNNNNNNNNNNNNNNNNNNNNNNNNNNNNNNNNNNNNNNNNNNNNNNNNNNNNNNNNNNNNNNNNNNNNNNNNNNNNNNNNNNNNNNNNNNNNNNNNNNNNNNNNNNNNNNNNNNNNNNNNNNNNNNNNNNNNNNNNNNNNNNNNNNNNNNNNNNNNNNNNNNNNNNNNNNNNNNNNNNNNNNNNNNNNNNNNNNNNNNNNNNNNNNNNNNNNNNNNNNNNNNNNNNNNNNNCAAUGGGAGAAGUGCUUGAUUUUGGGUUCUACCAUGUGGUGACCUUUCCGAGUGACUGUAGGGGCAGCAAGGCACACAUCAAGUAGUUGCCAUCAAGGGUAAAAAGAUGGGGGUUUUAUCAUUGGUUUGAGAUUAUCCCUCUACAUCAUGUCAACUUGCUUAAGGCGUUACUCUGUUCUUAUGGACUUAAUACACUUGAUGCAUGUUUGAUAGCGGUUGACGUGUGGAGUAAUAGUAGUAGAUGCAGACAGUAUCGGUCUACUUGUUUUGGACGUGAUGCCUAUAGAUAUAAUCAUUACAUAGAUAUCGUCACGACUUUGCGCGGUUCUGUCAAUUGCUCGACAGUAAUUUGUUCACCCACCGUCUACUUGCUUUCAUGAGAGAAGCCACUAGUAAACACUAUGGCCCCCGGGUCUAUUCACAUCCAUCGUUUACACCUCCACUUUUACUUUGCUUUGUUACUUUGUUGCUUUUAGUUCUCACUUGGCAAACAAUCUAUAAGGGAUUGACAACCCCUUCAUAGCGUUGGGAGCAUGCUUUUGUGUUUGUGCAGGAUCUUGAGAUACUCCUCCAUCGGAUUGAUACCUUGGUUCUCAAACUGAGGGAAAUACUUACCACCGCUAUGCUACAUCACCCUUUCCGCUUUGAGGGAACACCAAUGCAAGGCUCCAAGGCCACGGGGGAUUGAAUACUUGCCUAGGAAGUCCCUUAAGGCGUAGCCGCAGCUGAAGGAUUCCUGGUGCCGUCGACACGACAAUUUCUGGCGCCGUUGCAAGGGAAGCACAGCUGACAUCAGAAGUAUUUCUGGCGCCGUUGCCGGGGAGGAGAGAUCAAGAUCUAUCCAAGUAGGUCUCACAAACUCUUCUCUUGCAUUUACUUUUGUUUCCAGUUGCCUUUCGUUUUCCUCUCCCCCACUUCACAUUUGCCAUUUUCAUUUGCCUUUCUCCUUCGUCGUUUUCUUUUGCCUUUGCCGUUUCCCUUUGCCGGUUUUCUCGCUUGCUUGUGUGCUUGUUUGUUUGUUGAAGUCAUCAUGGCUGAAAACACCAAACUUUGCGACUUCUCGAGCACUAAUAAUAAUGAUUUUAUUAGUACUCCGAUUGCUCCCGCCACUAGUAUGGAAUCGUAUGAAAUCAACGCAGCUUUGCUGAAUCUUGUUAUGAAAGAGCAAUUAUCUGGCCUUCCUAGUGAAGAUGCCGCAUCCCAUCUCAAUACCUUCAUUGAGCUUUGUGAUAUGAAAAAGAAAAGAGAUGUGCAUAAUGACGUGAUUAAGUUGAAACUUUUUCCUUUCUCGUUGCUAGAUCGCGCAAAAACUUGGUUUUCUUCUUUGCCUAAAAAUAGUAUCGAUUCUUGGGAUAAGGGCAAAGAUGCUUACAUAUCCAAGUAUUUUCCGCCGGCUAAGAUCAUCUCCUUACGUAACGAUAUCAUGAAUUUCAAGCAACUUGAUCAUGAACACGUUGCACAAUCUUGGGAGAGGAUGAAGCUUAUGAUUAGAAAUUGUCCCGCUCAUGGCUUGAGUUUGUGGAUGAUUAUACAAAUCUUUUACGCUGGCUUGAAUUUCGCUUCUCGCAAUAUCUUGGACUCCGCCUCAGGUGGAACGUUCAUGGAAAUCACGUUAGGAGACGCUACAAAACUCCUAGACAAUAUCAGGACCAACUACUCUCAGUGGUACACUGAAAGGUCACCUACUAGCAAAAAGGUGCACGCUAUAGAAGAAAUUAACUCGCAUAGUGCUAAGAUGGACGAGUUGACGAAUUUGGUUGCUAGUAGAAACGCUACCAUAGAUCCUAAUGACAUGCCACUAUCUUCUUUGAUUGAGAGUAGCAACGCUAGUUUGGACGUGAAUUUUGUUGGUAGGAACAAUUUUGGCAACAAUAAUGCUUUUAGAGGAAACUAUGUUCCUAGGCCUUUUCCUAGUAACUCCUCUAACAAUUAUGGAAAUUCCUACAACAACACUUAUGGAAAUCACAACAAAUUACCCUCUGAUCUAGAGAGUAAUAUCAAAGAGUUCAUCAACUCUCAAAAGAUUUUCAAUGCGUCCAUAGAGGAAAAACUACUCAAAAUAGAUGAUUUGGCUAAGAGCAUUGAUAGGAUGUCUUGUGAUAUUGAUGCUUUGAAAGUUAGAUGCGCUCCUUCCAAAGUCAACUUGGAUGAAACUUGGAAAGCUAUGCGUGUCUCCAUGAAUGAGAGCAAAGAAAGAACCGCCCAAAUUCGCGCUAGACAUGAAUGGUUUAAAAGGGUGCGUUCUAGUGAUGCAAAUCACGAAGAUCUUAAAGUGCUUGGUGUGUCUCCUCUUGAAUCUUUGUUUUCGCGUGUCAAACCUAUUUAUGGAGGGGCUGGAUAUGAAUCCACUUUGGUUGAAAAAUUCCCCAGUGAUUCGGAGUCCACCUAUCUUGAUGAUAAAGGUGUGGAGAGUGGAGUAGAAGAAGUCAAAAUUUUGGGUAGUAAUGAAACUCCCACUUUGGAUUUCAAGGAAUUCAAUUAUGAAAAUUGCUCCUUGUUUGAAUGCAUUUCUUUGAUGCAAUCCAUUGCAAACUCUCCACAUUCUUAUCGCCAAAGCAAAGCCUUUAUCGCGCAUAUCGUAGAUGCUAUGAUGAAAUCUCUUGAAGUGAAGCUCGAACUAGAAGUCUCUACCUAGAAAACUUCAUGAUGAGUGGGAACCUACUAUCAAAAUCAAGAUCAAAAACUAUGAGUGCAAUGCUUUGUGUGAUUUGGGUGCUAGUGUUUCCGCGAUUCCAAAGUCUUUAUGUGAUAUUCUUGGUUUUCAUGAGAUCGAAGAGUGUUCUCUUAAUUUGCAUCUUGCGGAUUCUACUGUCAAGAAACCCAUGGGAAGGAUCGAUGAUGUUCUUAUUGUUGCAAAUAAGAACUAUGUACCAGUGGAUACCAUUGUACUUGACAUAGAUUGCAAACCUUCAUGUCCCAUUAUUCUUGGUAGACCUUUCCUAAGGACUAUCGGUGCUAUCAUCGAUAUGAAGGAAGGGAAUAUUAUAUUUCAAUUUCCUUUAAAGAAGGGCAUGGAGCACUUUCCUAGAAAGAAAAUAAGAUUUCCUUAUGAAUCUCUGAUGAGGGCUACCUAUGGUUUGAUCACCAAAGAUGACUAUACAUGAUUCCAUGACUUUUCGCCUAGCUAAGGGCGUUAAACAAAAGCGCUUGUUGGGAGGCAACCCAACAAAUCUAUCUUUUUUCUUUAUGUUUUGUGUUUUCCACACUUUCAUAAUUCUGUUAUGAUUGUGUUUUUUGUGUUUCUUUUUGCGUUUGUGCCAAGCAAAACCGUUAUGACUAGUCUUGGGGAUGAUCGUUUGGUGAUGCUGGAAAAGACAGAAACUUUCUGCUCACGAAAAGAAUUUUCAUGUUUUUUCUGUAAGAGGUUUUGAGUUGAUUCUUUUCGCUGCUGAUUGCUAAGCCAAUUCUUCAGACUGUCGUAAUUUUCAGAAUUUUUGAAGUACCAGAGGUAUACGAAAUAUACAGAUUGCUACAGACUGGUCUGUUGUUAACAGAUUCUGUUUUUGUUGUGUUGGUUGCUUAUUUUGAUGAAACUAUGGAUAGUAUCGGGGGGGGGGGUAUUAGCCAUGGAAGAUUGAAAGUACAGUAACCCAACAUCAGAAUAAGUAGAAUUUAAGUUUGCUACAGUACCUAAGGAAGUGGUGGUUUGCUUUCUUGUACUAAUGUUAUCACGAGUUUCUGUUUAAGUUUUGUGUUGUGAAGUUUUCAAGUUUUGGGUGAAGUUCUUAUGGACAAAGAGAUAAAGAGUGGCAAGAGAUAAAGCUUGGGGAUUCCCAAGGAACCCCAAGAGAUUCAAGGAUGCCGUAAAAGCCUAAGCUUGGGGAUGCCCCGGGAAGGCAUCCCCUCUCUCGUCUUCAAUCCAUCGGUAACGUUACUUGGGGCUAUAUUUUUAUUCACCACAUGUUAUGUGUUUUUGCUUGGAGCGUCUUGUAUCGUAGGAGUCUUUUAUUUUUGUUGUGUCACAAUCAUCCUUGCUGCACACCUAGAGAGAGAGACAUGCACUCACCGUGAUUUUGUCGAGCUUCACUUAUAUCUUUUGGUAGACAAUUCAGCUCACAUGUGCUUCACUUAUAUCUUUUGAGCUAGAUACUUUUGCUCGAUGUGCUUCACUUAUAUCUUUUAGAGAAUAGCGGUGCGUGGCUUGGUAGUUGAUCUAUGCUUUGAAAGUAGUCUCAAAAGGGGUAGUUAUCCAAAGGGAUACGAAAACUUCCACCUUCAUGUGCAUUGAAUAGUUAGAGAAGUUUGAUUCAUCUCAAUUAGUUUUGAGUUGUGGUUAUGGUAAUAUUGAAGUCAUGCUAGUAAGGUGUUGUGGAUCUAGAAAUAUUUGUGUUGAAGUUAGUGAUUCCCGUAGCAUGCACGUAUGGUGAACCGCUAUGUGAUGAAGUCUGAGCAUGAUUGAAAGUGCAUGCUAUGCCCCUAAUUGUCUUUUGGUGUUAAUGACAGCACAUACAUAGGAAACUAAUCCUAUUUGUUGAGUGUAUCUCAGGACGACAAGUACUUUAGUAGAUUAAGAUUUCUGUGCCAAAGGUUGCCUGAAAAGAUUGGUGAGUUAUAUUUCGAGAAGACUCGGAAUUAAGAAGAGAUGUUGUAGAAUAGUCUUUUGAGUUUACUGAUAUUGAGUAUAGGGAUCCCGCACUAUUAAGAGGGGAUCACAGGCUUUGCGAGAAACUUGCUCAUACCACAUCUCUACAAUCAUAUCAAACAUCACAUAGUAUCCACUCUCUACAAUUCAACAUAUGUCCAAUCUCCUCGGACAUCCGGCUCCCUCCGGACGUCCGAAUGGCUUCGGAAAUCCGCAGCCAGACAACAGUAGUUUGUACACACUAUAACUCGGAAAUCCGGCUCCCUCCGGACGUCCGAGGGCCGGACAUCCGGCCAAGCUCCGGAAAUCCGGAGGCCAACACCAGUAGUUUGUGUGCACUAUAUCUCGGACAUCCGGCCUCCUCCGGACGUCCGAGCUCCGGAUGUUCAACCCCCGUCGGAAAUCCGGAAGCCACCACCAGAAGAAAUUGUGUUGUAUAAUACGGACUUCCGGGCCACUUCCGGACGUCCGGCUGCUGAUGUAUUCGAACAGGUUCAGGCUAACCUACAGGCCUCGGACGUCCGACCCCUGUCGGACGUCCGGCCGCUGAUGAAUCCAGUUGAGCUCCAGUCAUGCCUACAGGUCUCGGACGUCCGACUCCCUCCGGACGUCCGGUCCCUCUGGGACGCCCGGACUUCCGACAAGUGUCGGACGUCCGGACCCUGUGUGACUUAUUGCACCACCAACGGCUGGAUUUCACUCCACACUAUAUAUACUCUUCUCCCACCUCGAGAAAGUGUGUUCAACAGAGCUAAGGUACAUCCAAGAACACCUUUCCUCUCACUCACUCUUGUCUACACUAAAUCCUAGAUCCCAAGAGCAUUUGUGAGUCAUUUAGAGUGUUGUUCCAAUCAAAAGAAAGAUCGUCUCCCUCUCCUCCUUCCCACCAAAGUGAUUUGUGAUUUGAGCAAGUUUUGAGCAAUCCCCGUGAUCUUGUUACUCUUGGAGGUUGGAGACUCCUAGGCGGUAGGAGUCUUCGGAGAGGAAUCAAACCAUUGUGAUAUCCCCCGGAAAGUUUGUGAAGGUUUGGAAGCCACCUCAAGGCUUACCACUAGUGGUUGAGAAACGCCUUCGUGGAGUUAUCUCAAAGGGAGAAUAGGGUGAGCCUUCGUGGCGUUGGUGUGCCUUCGUGGUAACAUCCGCCCCUCUAACGGUGACGUAGCUUCCCUCCAAGGAAGUGAACAUCGGGAUACAUCCUUGUCUCUCUCGGAGUUUCGGUUAUUCCUAACCCUAACUCUCUACUUGUGUUAAUCCUUAUUACAUACUUGUAUUUGCUUAUUGCUUACCGCUUGCCUUGCUUCACUCCUAAUAGCUUACUCUUUGUCAUAGCAAUUAUUAGGCUUACACUUAUAUUCCGCACUUUAGCCUAAAAUUGCUAAGUAAUUGUUAAAAUUUGGAUUUGUACCUAUUCACCCCCCCUCUAGGUCCAUCUCGACACUUUUCAAUGAUUAGUAUAUUGAUUGUCAUCCUUUGCGUGGCGGUCGGAAUCGCGCGAUGGUUUAUACCUACCAACCCUUCCCCUAGGAGUAUGCGUUGAAUGCUUUGUUUCGAUUACUAAUAAAACUUUUGCAACAAGUAUAUGAGUUCUUCAUGACUAAUGUUGAGUCCAUGGUUUAGAUGCACUCUCACCUACCACCAUCACUAUCUUCUUAGUGCCGUGCAACUUUCGCCGGUGCCUAAAACCCACCAUUAGCCUCCCUCAAAACAGCCACCAUACCUACCUACUAUGGCUUUUUCAAAGUCAUUCCAAGAUAUAUUGCCAUGCAACUACCACCAUGACAUGUGCCACCACGUCUACAUUGCCUUUCCAUGAUCGUAACAUAGCUAGCAUGAUGUUUCCCUUGAUGUCUAUGCCUUGCUAGAUCAUUGCCACGGUACACUACCGAAGGCAUUCCAUAUAGAGUCAUAGUUGCUCUAAGUUUUGAGUUGAAAGUGUGAUGAUCAUCAUUAAUGGAGCAUUAUCCCAUGUGAGGAAAUAAAAGAGGCCAAAGAAGCCCUGUCGGAGUACAUGGUUUCACGAUGUUAUCUUGUCAUGGAGUACAUAGUUUCACGAUGUUAUCUUGUCGGAGUACAGGCCAAAGAAGCCCUGUCGGAGUAUAUGAAGGCAUUCCAUAUAGAGUCAUGGUUUCACGAUGUUAUCUUGUCUUCUUUGGAUGUUGUAUGUACCUUUUAUAUCUUUUUUGGUACUAACUUAUUAAUUCAGUGCCAACUGCGAGUUCCUGUUUUUUCUAUGUUUUUGACUCUUUCCAGAUCUGAUUUUGGAACGGAGUCCAAACGGAAGAAAAAUCCCGAAAUGAUUUUUUCCCGAAUGGAAGAAGAUCAGGGGGCCUUUGGGCCAAGCCAGGUGGGCUCCAGGGAGCCCACAAGCCCCCACUCCACCACCAGGGGGGAGGCGGCAGUGGGCAGGCUUGGGGACUCCCUGGCCGCCCCUAACCUAGAUCUUUGGCCUAUAAAUUCCCAAAAAUAUAGCAAAAAAUCAGGGGAGCCUCGAAAAUACUUUUCCGCCGUAGCAAGCUUCCAUUUCCGCGAGAUCUCAUCUGGAGACCCUUCCCGGCGCCCUGUCGGAGGGGACUUUGGAGUUGGAGGGCUUCUUCAUCAUCAUAUUGGCCCCUCCAAUGACUCGUGAGUAGUUCACUUCAGACCUACGGGUCCGUUGUUAGUAGCUAGAUGGCUNNNNNNNNNNNNNNNNNNNNNNNNNNNNNNNNNNNNNNNNNNNNNNNNNNNNNNNNNNNNNNNNNNNNNNNNNNNNNNNNNNNNNNNNNNNNNNNNNNNNNNNNNNNNNNNNNNNNNNNNNNNNNNNNNNNNNNNNNNNNNNNNNNNNNNNNNNNNNNNNNNNNNNNNNNNNNNNNNNNNNNNNNNNNNNNNNNNNNNNNNNNNNNNNNNNNNNNNNNNNNNNNNNNNNNNNNNNNNNNNNNNNNNNNNNNNNNNNNNNNNNNNNNNNNNNNNNNNNNNNNNNNNNNNNNNNNNNNNNNNNNNNNNNNNNNNNNNNNNNNNNNNNNNNNNNNNNNNNNNNNNNNNNNNNNNNNNNNNNNNNNNNNNNNNNNNNNNNNNNNNNNNNNNNNNNNNNNNNNNNNNNNNNNNNNNNNNNNNNNNAAUGGGAGAAGUGCUUGGUUUUGGGUUCUACCAUGUGGCGACCUUUCCCAGUGACAGUAGGGGCGGCAAGGCACACAUCAAGUAGUUGCCAUCAAGGGUAAAAAGAUGGGGUUUUUAUCAUUGGUUUGAGAUUAUCCCUCUACAUCAUGUCAUCUUGCUUAAGGUGUUACUCUGUUCUUAUGGACUUAAUACACUAGAUGCAUGCUGGAUAGCGGUCGACGUGUGGAGUAAUAGUAGUAGAUGCAGACAGUAUCGGUCUACUUGUUUUGGACGUGAUGCAUAUAGAUAUAACCAUUGCAUAUAUAUCGUCACGACUUUGCGCGGUUCUAUCAAUUGCUCGACAGUAAUUUGUUCACCCACCGUCUACUUGCUUUCAUGAGAGAAGCCACUAGUAAACACUACGGCCCCGGGAUCUAUUCACAUCCAUCGUUUAAUCCUCCGCUUUUACUUUUCUUUGUUACUUUGUUGCUUUCAUUUCUCACUUGGCAAACAAUCUAUAAGGGAUUGAAAACCCCUUCAUAGCGUUGGGAGCAAGCUUUUGUGUUUGUGUAGGAUCUUGAGAUACUCCUCCAUCAGAUUGAUACCUUGGUUCUCAAACUGAGGGAAAUACUUACCACCGCUGUGCUACAUCACCCUUUCCGCUUCGAGGGAACACCAACGCAAGGCUCCAAGGCCACGAGGGAAAUCCUUUGCAUACUUGCCUAGGAAGUCCCUUAAGGCGUAGCCGCAGCUGAAUGAUUCCUCGUGCCGUCGACACGACUAUUUCUAGCGCCGUUGCAAGGGAAGCACAACUGACAUCAGUGCCCACUGGCCCCCCUCUUCUGCUAUAUGAAGGGUUUCGUCCGGAAAAAAAUCAGGGUGGAGCUUUUUCGUGGAUUCUCGGCCGCCAUGAGGCGGAAUUUGAGCAGAACCAAUCUAGAGCUCCGACACGACGAUCCUGCCGGGGAAAGUUCCCUCCCGGAGGGGGAAAUCGUCGCCAUCGUCACCACCAACACUGCUCUCAUUGGAGGGGACUCGUCUCCAUCAACAUCUUCAUCAACACCAUCUCAUCUCCAAACCCUAGUUCAUCACUUGUAACUAAUCUUCGUCUCGCGACUCCGAUUGGUACUUGUAAGGUUGUUAGUAGUGUUGAUUACUCUUUGUAGUUGAUGCUAGUUGGAUUACUUGGUGGAAGAGUUUAUGUUCAGAUCCUUGAUGCUACUCAUUAGACCUCUGAUCAUGAUUAUGAUUANUUAAUCAUAAGUGGGAUGCUUGUCCAAGUAAGGGCAGUACCCAAGUGCCGGUCCACCCACAUAUCAAACUAUCAAAGUAACAAGCGUGAAUCAUAUGAACAUGAUGAAACUAGCAUGACAGAAAUUCCCUUGUGUCCUCGGGAUUGAUUUUCCUCCUAUAAGACUUUGUUCUGGAUUGUCCCUUGCUACAAAAGGGAUUGGGCCACUUUGCUGCACCGUUGUUACCACUUGUUACUUGUUACUUUUCACCUGCUACGUUUCACCUCACUACAGCAUCACUUGUUACCGCUACUUUCAGUGCUUGCAGUUAUUACCUUGCUGAAAACCGUUUAUCAGAGCCUUCUGCUCCUCGUUAGGUUCGACACUCUUACUUAUUGAAAGGACUACGAUUGAUCCCCUAUACUUGUGGGUCAUCAAGACUCUUUUCUGGCGCCGUUGCCGGGGAGUGAAGCGCCUUUGGUAAGUGGAAUUUGGUAAGGAAACAUUUUUAUACUGUGCUGAAAUUUAUUGUCACUUGUCACUAUGGAAACUGUUCCUUUGAGGAAUUUUUUCGGGGUAUCUUCACCAUAAACGGAAGCACGAGGAGUUGCUCCUCGACCUAAGGUACCUACUUAAAAUAUCUUUUAUGAAAUUCCUUCGGGUAUGCUUGAGAAACUGCUGGCUAAUCCUUUUACAGAAGAUGGAUCUUCACAUCCAGACUUGCAUCUAAUCUAUGUAGAUGAAGUUUGUGGUUUAUUUAAGCUUGCAGGUUUGCCCGAGGAUGAGGUAAAAAAGAAAUUAUUUCCUUUAUCUUUGAAGGAUAAGGCAUUGACAUGGUAUAGGUUAUGUGAUGAUACUGGAUCAUGGGACUACAAUCGGUUGAAAUUGGAAUUUCAUCAAAAGUUUUAUCCUAUGCAUUUAGUACAUCGUGAUCGGAAUUAUAUUUAUAACUUUUGGCCUCGUGACAGGGAAAGCAUAGAUCAAGCUUGGGGGAGGCUUAAAUUAAUGCUAUAUUCAUGCCCCAAUCAUGAGCUCUCGAGAGAAAUUAUCACUCAAAACUUUUAUGUUCGGCUUUCUCAUGAAGAUUGUACCAUGCUUGACACUUCUUGUACCGACUCUGUUAUGAAGAAGGAUAUUGGCCACAAGUGGAAUUUAUUGGAAAGAAUCAAACGUAACUCUGAAGAUUGGGAGCUUGAAGAAGGUAAGGAGUCAGGUAUGAAUUUCCAAUUUGACUGCGUUAAAUAUUUUGUUGAAACAAACACUUCUAGAGAUUUUAGCGCUAAGUAUGGACUUGACUCUGAGAUAGUAGCUUCUCUAUGUGAAUCUUUUGCUACUCAUAUUGAUCUUCCCAAAGAGAAGUGGUUUAAGUAUCAUCCUCCUAUAGAAGUCAACAUAGUUAAACCCAAUCUAGUUGAAGAGAAAGUCAUUGCCUAUAAUGAUCCUAUUGUUCCUUGUUCCUACACUGAGAAACCACCUUACCCUGCUAGGAAAAAGGAUUAUUCUAAAGCUCCAACUGUGAUAUGUAGGGGUUACAUUAGACAACUUGCACCCCCUGAGGAAAUUAGAGUUGAACCUAGUGUUGCUAUUAUCAAAGAUCUCUUAGCCGAAGACAUAGACGGGCAUGUUAUCAAAUUCUGUGAGGACUCCGCUAGAAUUGCUAAACCUCACGCGAAAGACAAAUACGGACUUGUAGUUGGCCUGCCCGUUGUUUCUGUCAAGAUAGGAGAUCACUGUGAUCAUGGUUUAUGUGGUAUGGGUGCUAGUGUUAGUGCAAUACCCCGGUCCCUAUAUGAUGAAAUAAAAGAUGAGAUUGCACCUGCUGAGUUAGAACCCAUUGAUGUCACUAUUACGCUAGCUAAUAGAGACACUAUCUACCCUGUGGGAAUUGUGAGAGACAUAGAAGUCCUGUGUGGUAAGACGAAGUAUCCUACUGAUUUCCUCGUCCUUGCUACUACACAAGAUAGCUUUUGUCCCAUCAUAUUUGGUAGACCCUUUCUCAACACUGUCAAUGCUCAUAUUGAUUGCGUUAAACAGACUGUCACUAUUAGUUUCAAGGGUGUGUAUCAUGAAUUUAACUUCUCCAAGUUUGGAAGACAACCCCAUGAAAAAGAGUCAUCUAGUAGGGAUGAAAUCAUUGCUCUUGCCUCUAUUGUCGUGCCUCCUACGGAUCCUUUAGAGCAAUAUCUGCUUGAGCAUGGAAAUGCUAUGCAUAUGGAUGAAAGAGAUGAGAUAGAUAAAAUUGUUUUAGAACAAUAUCCUAUUCUUAAGAAUAAUCUGCUUGUUGAACUGCUUGGGGAUCCUCCCCCACCAAAGGGUGAUCCUGUGUUCGAGUUAAAACAGUUACCAGAUACACUUAAGUAUGCCUAUCUUGAUGAGAAGGAGAUAUAUCCUGUUAUUAUUAGUGCUCACCUCUCGAAUAACGAAGAGAAGAAGUUAUUAAAAACUUUGAGGAAGCACCGUGCUGCUAUUGGAUAUACUCUUGAUGAUCUUAAGGGUAUUAGUCCCACUCUAUGUCAGCACAAGAUUAGAACUGAUCCUGAUUCUAAGCCAGUUGCUGAUCAUCAACGGAGGUUAAAUCCUAGGAUGAAAAAGGUCAUGAGAAAAGAAAUAUUAAAGCUUCUGGAAGCAGGAAUCAUUUAUCCUGUUGCUCAUAGUGAUUGGGUAAGUCCAGUACAUUGCAUACCUAAGAAGGGAGGUAUCACCGUUGUUCCUAAUGAUAAGAAUGAACUAAUCCCAUAGAGGAUUAUUACUGGCUAUAGGAUGGUGAUAGACUUCCGGAAACUGAACAAGGCAACCAGGAAAGACCAUUAUACUUUGUCGUUUAUCGACCAAAUGCUAGAAAGGCUAUCUAAACACACACACUUCUGCUUUCUAGACGGUUAUUCAGGUUUCUCGCAAAUACAUGUUGCACAAUUUGAUCAGGAGAAAACCACUUUCACCUGCCCCUUCGGUACCUUUGCUUAUAGACGUAUGCCUUUUGGCUUAUGAAAUGCACCUGCCACCUUUCAAAGAUGUAUGAUGGCUAUAUUGUUGAGGUUUUCAUGGAUGAUUUCUCCAUUUACGGUUCUUCCUUUGACGAUUGCCUCAGCAACCUUGAUCGAGUCUUACAGAGAUGCAAAGAUACCAACCUCGUCUUGAACUGGGAGAAGUGCCACUUCAUGGUUAAUGAAGGCAUCGUCUUAGGACACAAAAUCUUUGAGAAAGGCAUUGAAGUUUAUAAGGCUAAGGUUGAUGCAAUUGAGAAAAUGCCUUUCCCCACAGAUAUCAGAGGUAUACGAAGUUUCCUAGGUCAUGCUGGUUUCUAUAGAAGGUUCAUUAAAGACUUCUCUAAGAUUUCUAGGCCUCUUACCAACCUCUUGCAGAAGGAUGUUCCUUUUGUUUUUGAUGAGGAUUGUGAGGAAGCUUUCGAAAUACUUAAAAGGGCCUUGAUAACCGCACCUAUUGUUCAACCACCUGAUUGGAACUUGCCCUUUGAAAUCAUGUGCGACGCUAGUGAUUAUGUUGUUGGUGCUGUUCUAGGACAAAGAGCUGACAAGAAGUUGAAUGUUAUUCACUAUGCCAGUAAAACUCUAGACAGUGCCCAAAGAAACUAUGCCACUACGGAGAAGGAAUUUUUAGCACUCGUAUUUGCAUGUGAAAAGUUUAGAUCUUAUAUAGUUGACUCCAUAGUCAUUAUUCACUCUGAUCAUGCUGCUAUUAAGUACCUUAUGGAGAAGAAGGACGCUAAGCCUAGGCUAAUCAGAUGGGUUCUCCUGCUACAGGAAUUUGAUUUGCACGUUGUUGACCGAAAGGGUGCUGAUAACCCUGUAGGAGAUAACUUGUCCAGGCUAGAGAAUGUCCUUGAUGACCCACGACCUAUUGAUGACAGCUUUCCUGAUGAGAAAUUGAAUGUCAUCCGCACUUCACAUAGUGCACCGUGGUAUGCUGAUUACGCAAACUAUAUCGUAGCCAAAUACAUACCACCCAGUUUCACCUACCAGCAAAAGAAGAAAUUCUUCUUUGAUUUGAGACACUACUUUUGGGAUGAUCCUCGCCUUUAUAAGGAAGGAAUAGAUGGUGUUAUUAGAUGUUGUGUGCCUAAACAUGAACAGGGACAGAUCCUGUAGAAGUGUCAUUCCAAAGCCUACGGAGGACACCAAGCUGGAGAUAGAACUGCUCAUAAGGUAUUGCAAUCAGGUUUCUAUUGGCCCACUCUCUUCAAGGAUGUCGUAAGUUUGUCUUGUCUUGUGACGAAUGCCAAAGAAUAGGGAACAUCAGUAAACAUCAGGAAAUGCCUAUGAACUAUUCACUUGUCAUUGAACCAUUUGAUGUCUGGGGCUUUGAUUAUAUGGGACCCUUCCCGAGUUCCAAUGGGUAUACUCACAUCUUAGUUGCUGUUGAUUACAUCACUAAGUGGGUAGAAGCUAUCCCCACUAGAAAUGUUGAUCACCACACCUCUAUUAAGAUGCUUAAAGAAGUCAUUUUCCUAAGAUUUGGAGUCCCUAGAUAUCUGAUGACUGAUGGCGGUUCACACUUCAUUCAUGGUGUUUUCCGCAAGAUGCUCGCUAAGUAUGAUGUCAACCAUAGAGUUGCAUCUCCUUAUCAUCCUCAGUCUAGUGGUCAAGUGGAGUUGAGUAAUAGGGAGAUCAAAUUGAUCUUACAAAAGUCUGUCAAUAGAUCUCGAAAGAAUUGGUCUGGCAAACUUGACGAUGCACUAUGGGCUUAUAGGACUGCUUAUAAGAAUCCCAUGGGCAUGUCGCCAUAUAAAAUGGUUUAUGGUAAGGCCUGUCAUUUACCUCUUGAGCUAGAACACAAAUCUUAUUGGGCAAUCAAAGAGCUCAACUUCGAUUUCAAACUUGCCGGUGAGAAGCGGUUGUUUGAUAUCAUCUCAUUAGAUGAAUGGAGGGCACAUGCAUAUGAGAAUGCCAAGUUGUUCAAGGAAAAGGUUAAGAGAUGGCAUGAUAAAAGAAUACAAAAACGUGAGUUCAAUGUAGGUGAUUAUGUCCUGCUAUACAAUUCUCGCUUAAGAUUCUUCGUAGGCAAACUUAUCUCUAAAUGGGAAGGUCCCUACGUUGUCGAGGAAGUAUAUCUUUCCGGUGCCAUCAAAAUCAAUAACACGGAAGGUAAUUUUCCGAGAGUGGUAAAUGGGCAAAGAAUGAAGCAUUAUAUCUAUGGUACUCCCAUAAAUGUUGAGACCAAUAUCAUCAAUAUCAUAACUCCACAGGAGUACAUAAGGGAUGUUUAUCAGCCUGUUUCAGACUUUGAAAACGUAGAGGUAUGUGUUUCGGUAAGUAAUUGGACUCCAAAACUUUUCCAGUAGGAAUUUUUCUCCGUUUUGAAAUUUAUGGAAAAAUAGAAAAAUAAAAAGCAGUCCGGAGAGCGCACGAGGCGGCCACAAGCUUGGUAGCCGCGACCUCCCCCUUGGUCGCGACUGCACGGCUUGUGGGCACCUCGUGUGCCUCCCGGACUCCGUUUUCUUGCGGAGCACUCCUUCUGGUCCAAAAAAUCAUUAUAUAUACGCCCGAGGGUUUUGGUCUCCGUAUCACGCAGUUUUCCUCUGUUUUUGUUUCGAGCGUGUUUCUGCUGCAGAUCUAGACUGCGAUGGCUUCCCCAAAAGCUCUGAAGGACAAGGUCUUUGAGAAGGUUAUCAAUCCUUACCUCGCGGAAGUGUUGCAUCACCCUCAAUCUAUCAAGAUGAGUGAGGGGAUGUUGCACAUCCAUGAUGUUGAGGGGCCUAAGAAGACCGGAAGCGUGGAGACGAGGCUCGAAGCAAUGGAGCAAGAAGUCUUCAAGUGCCAAGGGAUGGUGGAGCGUGGAGUCAACGCAAACCACAUGAUGAUCACGGAGUUCACCAACAAGCACAAGAUGGAUGCCAAUGGCAUUGGGAAGCACCUCUCCAGGCUCUAUGACAGGGUUGAUCAACUCCAGUGCCAGAUAUAUGACCUUCAGAACCAAAACUAUGAGUAUGAGUAUAGAUUUAAAUCAAUACGGUUGGCUGCAGAUUUGAGGAUUUCGGCGACUCAUUCAUCCUGCCAUGAUGGAGCACCUAUGCCUUGGAAGACGGAGGAUCAGACUCAUGUUGCAACUCCUCCACCACCACCAAAGGAAGACAACUGAGCAUUGGUAUGGGCAACCCCCUUGGCUUUUGCCAAGCUUGGGGGAGUUGCCCUGGUAUCGUAUAACCUUUAUAUCUUUUGCUUUUACCUUUGUUUUAGUUCUUUCUUUUUCAGUUUUUACUUUCUUCUCUUAGUGGGAUAAGUCUUUAGUGUUUAGUUUGAGUCUUUUGCCUUGGGUCUCCCCCGAUGUAUUCGAGCUUGCGAGCUAUAUAAUAAAGAGUAUCUUAGUCAAGGGCUUUGUUUUGUGCCGUGAUCAAAAGUAUGAAAAGAAUGAUAGCAUGAAAGAUCAUGAGAUGAUCUUAUGGAAAGUGAUAGCUUCACAUAUAACAAGUAUGAUGAUUGAAACUUGUUGAGAAUAUACCAACAUAGACCCCAGUCAUUGUUGCAAUUAAUAAGAAGUAAUAUGGAAAGAGAGGUUCACAUAUAAAUAUAUCAUCUUAGACACUUUUUACAAUUGUGAGCACUCACCAAACUAUUACAUGCUUAGAAGUAGAUGUUGGACAAGAAAGACAACAUAAUGAAUUAUGUUUGCUUGAUUCCAAACAAUGUUAUAUGUUUAGAGAUCCCUUAGCAUGUGACAAUUGCUUCCACCUCAUAUUAGCUAAAACUCCCACACCAAGUAGAGAUACUACUUGUGCAUCCAUAAACCUUCAAACCAGUCUUGCCAUGAGUGUCCACCAUACCUACCUAUGGAUUGAAUAAGAUCCCUCAAGUAAGUUGUCAUCGGUGCAAGCAAUAAAAAUUGCUCUCUAAUAUGUAUGAUCUAUUAGUGUGUGGAAAAUAAGCUUUAUACGAACCUGUGAUCAGGAAGACAUAAAAGGGACAGACUGCAUAAUAAAGUUCUUUAUCACAGGAGGCAAUAUAAAGUGACGUUCCUCCGCACUAAGAGGACACGCAUGCAAACCUCAAAAGCGCAUGAGAACCUCUGCUUCCCUCUGCGAAGGGCCUAUCUUGUACCUUUACUUUUGUCCUUGUGAAAGUCAUGGUGAUCAACACCAAUUCCCUAUUCCGUCUUCAUCUUGGUGAACGUCAUAUGCUAGGGAAAGAUCUAUAUUCAUAUAUCAACUUGGAGAUGAGUACUUAUGCUUUAUUAUUGUUGACUUUACCCUUGAGGUAAAUGGUUGGGAGGCAAAAUUAUAAGCCCCUAUAUUUCUCUAUGUCCAACUGAAACUUUGAUGCCAUGAGUACCACGUGAGUUGUAACAAUUGUGGAAAACAAAAGAGGUGAUUGAGUAUGUAGAUUUGCUUUACAAGCUCUUAUUUGACUCUUUUUGAUGUUAUGAUAAAUUGCAAUUGCUUCAAUGACUAUGGACUGUUGUUGGCUACUUCCCGGUAAGGUUUUUGAUUCAUACUUUGCUUUGUGAAGGAAUUGUUACUUUCCCAUAAGAAUCUUUAUGAUGUAUUGUUGUUCUAUGUGUGAUCAUGAUGCCCUCAUGUACGUAUUAUGUUUUAUCGACACCUUCAUCCCUAAACAUGUGGACAUGUUUAUGGAUCUUGGUUUUCGCUUGAGGACAAGCGAGGUCUAAGCUUGGGGGAGUUGAUACGUCCAUUUUGCAUCAUGCUUUCAUGUUGAUAUUUUUCGCUUUUUGGACUGUUAUUAUACUUUGUGGUACCAUACUUAUGCCUUUUCUCUCUUAUUUUGCAAGGUUUAUUUGAAGAGGGAGAAUACCGGCAGCUGGAAUUCUGGACUGGAAAAGGAGCAAGUCUGAGACCUCUAUUCUGCGCAACUCCAAAUGCCCUGAAAAUCAACGUGGAAUUUUUUGGGAAUAUAUAAAAAAUACUAGGCGAAAGAAGUGCUAGAGGAGAGCUGUCAGGGGCCCACAAGCCUGGUAGCCGCGGCCUGCCCCCCUGGCCGCGGCUAUAGGUCUUGUGGGCACCCUGGUGGCCCACUGGCCCCCCUCUUCUGCUAUAUGAAGGGUUUCGUCCAAAAAAAAUAAGUGCAGAACUUUUUCAUGGAUUCUCUGCCACCACGAGGCGGAACUUGAGCAGAACCAAUCUAGAGCUCCAGCAGGACGAUCCUGCCGGGGAAACUUCCCUCUCGGAGGGGGAAAUCGUUGCCAUCGUCACCACCAACACUCCUCUCAUCGGAGGGGACUCGUCUCCAUCAACAUCUUCAUCAGCACCAUCUCAUCUCCAAACCCUAGUUCAUCACUUGUAACCAAUCUCCAUCUCGCGACUCCGAUUGGUACUUGUAAGGUUGCUAGUAGUGUUGAUUACUCUUUGUAGUUGAUGCUAGUUGGAUUACUUGGUGGAAGAGUUUAAGGUCAGAUCCUUGAUGCUACUCAUUACACCUUUGAUCAUGAUUAUGAUUANNNNNNNNNNNNNNNNNNNNNNNNNNNNNNNNNNNNNNNNNNNNNNNNNNNNNNNNNNNNNNNNNNNNNNNNNNNNNNNNNNNNNNNNNNNNNNNNNNNNNNNNNNNNNNNNNNNNNNNNNNNNNNNNNNNNNNNNNNNNNNNNNNNNNNNNNNNNNNNNNNNNNNNNNNNNNNNNGGUUAAUCAUAAGUGGGAUGCUUGUCCAAGUAAGGGCAGGACCCAAGCGCCGGUCCACCCACAUAUCAAACUAUCAAAGUAACGAACAUGAAUCAUAUGAACAUGAUGAAACUAGCAUGACAGAAAUUCUUGUGUGUCCUCGGGAGCGUUUUUUCUCCUAUAAGACUUUGUUCAGGCUUGUCCCUUGUUACAAAAGGGAUUGGGCCACUUUGCUGCACCGUUUCUACCACUUGUUACUUGUUACUUUUCACCUGCUACGUUUCACCUCACUACACCAUCACUUGUUACUGCUACUUUCAGUGCUUGCAGUUAUUACCUUGCUGAAAACCGUUUAUCAGAGCCUUGUGCUCCUUGUUGGGUUCGACACUCUUACUUAUCGAAAGGACUAUGAUUGAUCCCCUAUACUUGUGGGUCAUCACGCCCCGCCUCCUGCUCGCGCGUCGCGGGAAGCCGCCCCACAACUGUUGUGCGCUUCUGGCCCGCUGCCGGCCAGAUCCGUCGCGUCGCUCCGGUUAGUGAGUCAGGCCGUCACCGCCCCCUCUGAUACCUUCACCUCAUCGUGCCUCAUCCUCUCCCUCGUCUUCUUGUGUCCAUGGCGUCGCCGCUCCUUCCUCGCAUUGAGGCCUUGCAGUCACAGGGAGCUCUUGCAGCCGCCGGUCGUGGUCGACCCAAGCGUCGCUUCUCUGUUCCCCUCGCCUCGAGCCGCUGGUUGCCCGAGGAUCCGCCGCCACUUGCUGUUGUAGCCGAUGUUGCGCCGUUCCCCUGUGUCCGUGAGGUCCUACACUGACUCCCUUACGUGCUUCUUCGAGCAUGAGCUCUUCUGCCUCAGAGCUCUUUCGCAGCCACCACUAUCGGUUCCCUACUCCAUCCCUUGGUCGUGUUUUGGCUCUGGUGGGACCUCUUGUGGCCGCCAUCAAGUUAUUGUUGGUUGGGACGUUGAUGUUGCCAGCACCUAAUGCAACUAACGCUUCCUGACCAUCGCUUUCCAAGUGACGUCCACGAUGGCCCCAUGUGUUUAUGAAGCGUGUUCAACUAUCGUCGCCUUCGAUCCGCUUGAGUACCACUACGCCAAGUGUAUGACUACCAUUGACAAGAUUGUGAGUACCACAACUUCCGCGACAUCCACGACGACUCAUGUACAUCUACACCGCAACGACUCGAUCCGCUCCAAGAUGCACGCUUCGAAGGUAUAACCGCCGAGACGAUACUCGUAGACCGAAUGCAUUGUCGUGUGAGGUGCGAUGUUGUCCGUUUCGUAGAUGCCAUGUCAGUUGCACGUUGUCCCUCUUUUGUCGUGCCCUGCCACAUGGGAACCUGCCAACCGGGAUCACCCCAUCAUUCUUGGCAUGACACGCACACGCUCCCAAUUCGUUAGCACCGGUAUCUCGUCGAGCUAACGGGACUGGAACAGUGUCGUAGUAUCAUUUCCGUUUUGUCGCCAUGGUUCCCUUUCGUUCGCCAUGGCGACACAUGCUUCAUAUCCUUCUUGCCAGUGUUCUCAUAAAAUAACAUGCAUGUUGCAUUCAUGGCAUAAUAUUCUGUGUUGCACGUAUCUUUUAACCGUAGCUCCGUUCAAUGUUCUUAAGUGUUAACCGACUAGAAUGACAUGUACAAUCACAUGCUUCACCUCUUGCCAUGUUUAAACAACAUUUAAUAUUGUCGUGUACCUAAACAGGAAUGAACUAAAUAAUUCAUAUGUGGAGUUUCGUCAGUAUGCAACUCGUUGCAUAUUGAGCUUCACUUAAUGUGUAGUGAUUGAUUGUUGUGAAUUGACAUGACAUGCCUUGCAUAAUUGAAAUGGACAUGCAUCAUAAUUGGUUGUGCAUCAUAUCAUGCAUGUGCCAUUGUGAAUAUCGUGUGUUGAUUCUUGUUUUCAGUUUGCUUCUUCUCGUUAGGGUUCCACAAGUGUGUCAAAAUGUGAGGAUUCUUUUGUUGGAAAUAUGCCCUAGAGGCAAUGAUAAAUAGUUAUUAUUAUAUUUCCUGUUUAAAUAUAAUCGUUUAUUAUCCAUGCUAUAAUUGUAUUGAAUGAAAACAUAGAUACAUGUGUGGAUACAUAGACAAAACAAUGUCCUUAGCAAGCCUCUAGUUGGAUAGCCAGUUGAUCAAUGAUAGUCAAGCUUUUCUGACUAUGUGCAAGCGUUGUCACUUGAUAACUGGAUCACAUCAUUAGGAGAAUCAUGUGAUGGACUAGACCCAGACUAUGAACAUAGCAUAUUGAUCGUGUCGUUUUAUUGCUACUGUUUUCUACGUGUCAAGUAUUUGUUCCUAUGACCAUGAGAUCAUAUAACUCACUAGCACCGGAGGAAUACCUUGUGUGCAUCAAACAUCACAGCGUAACUGGGUGACUAUAAAGGUGCUCUACAGGUAUCUCCGAACGUUUCCGUUUAGUUAGUAUGGAUCAAGACUGGGAUUUGUCACUCCGUGUGACGCAGAGGUAUCUCAGGGCCCACUCGGUAAUACAACAUCACACACAAGCCUUGCAAGCAAUGUGACUAAGUAUAAGUCACGGGAUCUUGUAUUACGGAACGAGUAAAGAGACUUGCCGGUAACGAGAUUGAAAUAGGUAUGCGGAUACCGACGAUCGAAUCUCGGGCAAGUAACAUACCAAAGGACAAAGGGAAUGACAUACGGGAUUAUAUGAAUCCUUGGCACUGAGGUUCAACCGAUAAGAUCUUUGGAGAAUAUGUGGAAUCCAAUAUGGGCAUCCAAGUCCCGCUAUUGGAUAUUGACCGAGGAGUGCCUCGGGUCAUGUCUACAUAGUUCUCGAACCCGCAGGGUUUGCAAACUUAAGAUUCGAUGAUGUUUUAGUAUAGUUGAGUUAUAUGUGUGGUUACCGAAUGUUGUUCGGAGUCCCGUAUGAGAUCAUGUACAUCACGAGGGUUUCCGGAAUGGUCCGGAAACGAAGAUUGAUAUAUAGGAUAGUUUCAUUUGGUCACCAGAAAGUUUCGGGCAAUUCCGGCAGUGUACCGGGAGUGAUGAAUGGGUUCCGGGUGUUUUACCGGGAGGGCCCCACCCACCCGAGAGUGAUCCCAAGGCCCUAGGGUGGCGCACCAAGUCCUUAUUGGGCUGGUGGAGUCAUCCCAAGAGGGCUAUGGUGCCACAUAAGAAAAUACCAAAAGAAAAGAAGAAAAAAAGGAAAGAGGGAGGUGAGAAGGAAGAGGAGGACUCCUCCUUCCCAAACCGAAUUGGAAGAGGAGUCCUCCUCCUCCUGGCGGCCGACGCACCUUGAUGCCCUUGUGCCUCAAGUCUAGCCCCUCCCCUCCUCCUAUAUAUAUUGGUGGUUUAGGGAUUUUUGAGACACAACUUUGCCACGUGCAACUCAAGGCUAUUCCACAUAGUUUUACCUCUAGAUCGGAUUUCUGCGGAGCUCGGGUGGAGCCCUGUAGGAGUAGAUCGUCACCACCACCGGAGCAUCGACACGCUGCCGGAGAACUCAUCUACAUCUCUGUCUUGCUUGCUGGAUCAAGAAGGCCGAGAUCAUCGUCGAGCUGUACGUGUGCUGAACGCGGAGGUGUCGUCCGUUCGGCACUAGAUCGGAACCGUUCGAGGGACAGAUCGUGGGACAACGGUGAUUGGAAUCACAAAGCUGUACCACUAUGUCAACCGCGUUUCUUAACGCUUACCGCUGUGCGAUCUACAAGGGUACGUAGAUCUAAUAUCCUCUCGUAGAUGGACAUCACCAUGAUAGGUCUUCGUGUGCGUAGGAAAUUUUUUGUCUCCCAUGUAACGUUCCCCAACAUCUUUCGACUAUGUCGGUUCGUCUGCUUCACAGAUUCGUUCUUCUUCCAAGCGGGGUCACAGGCAAGAUGAUCAUUUCCCUAGAUACCAUUACUAUCAAUGCCAUGCUAGUUGUCUCAUUUCUUUCGUUAUGUCUCGCUGCCUACCACUUAAAUGUCAGCCUCCCAAUAUUGCCAUGAAAAACCUCUAACCUUUCCACAACCCAGCAGAUCACUGUUUUGCUAUGUUACCACUUGCUCAACCUUUUGAUAGCGUUGCUAGUUGCAGGUGCAGUUGCUUCCAUGUGAAACAUGGGUUCCUUGUUAUAUCAUCAUAUUAUUGCUAAUUAUUUAAUGCACCUAUAUACUUGGUAAAAGGUGGAAGGCUUGGCCUUCUAGCCUGGUGUUCUGUUCCACCUUUGUCGCCUUAGUUUCGGCUACCGGUGUUAUGUUCCAUAAAUGAGCGCUCCUAACAUGCUUGGGGUUGUUAUGGGGACCCCCUUGACUUUCGUUUUGAGAUAAAACUCGUCUGGCAAGGCCAAACAUUGUUACUAUAUUUUCCCAACAUAAUAAUACUGAAAAACAUAGGGUGUCAUGAACCCGAGGACUAAUUCAAUAUAAUACAGGGAGGGCCAAUGUUGAUGGUGCUGGUCCUAAACAGAGAAUUGUGUGGGGCGAACCCGGGGCAACUAGGGAGAUUUCUAUCAGGACACUAUACGCCUCGCUCAUCCGUCGUGUCCCGAGAACGAGAUACGCGGCUCCUAUCGGGAUCGUCAACACGUCGGGCGGCCUUGCUGGACUUGUUUUACCUUUCUCGAGCAUCUCGUGCGUGGGAUUCCGAGGAUACUUUGGUCUAUCUCGAGGUUGAGGUUUUCCAAUAGGACCCCGAGGAGAUCACAUGUUCUCCCUGAUCGAGGUCAUUUCGGCGGAGCGUGUGGUAGUUUGUGAUGGACUAAUUGGAGCACCCCUACAGGGUUAAAUCUUUCGGAAAGCCGUGCCCACGGUUAUGUGGCAAACUUGGAAACUUUGUUUAACAUCCUAUUCUAGAUAACUUGAAGUAAACUUAAGUAAAAUAUGCCAACUGUGUGUGUAACCGUGACUGUCUCCUCUCGUCAGUUCUGUAUCCAGAAGAGGACACAAUGGGGUUAUGUCUAACGUAAGUAGGUUUUCAGGAUCAUUCAUUUGAUCAUCAGUAGUUCAUGUCCUAUAUCCGUGGAUCAUCCCCCCUUUUAUUCUUAUACUUUUAAGUUAGCCACCUCAAAUAAAUGCUUAGUCGCUUGCUGCAGCCUCACCACUUAACCAUACCUCACCCAUUAAGCUUUGCUAGUCUUGAUACCUUUGGAAAUGAGAUUGUUGAGUCCCUGUGGCUCACAGAUUACUACAACACCAGUUGCAGGUACACGUAAAGCGAUACUCUAACGUGAGCGCGAUGAUUGUUCUAUUUGGAGUUUCUUAUUCUUCUUCUUCAAUGAUAUAGGAUGGGUUCCAGGCUGGCAGCCCGGGAUAGCAAGGAUGGACGUCGUUCUUUUAUUGUUUAUUUUCGUCCGUAGUUGGACCCUGCUCUUCUUCAUGAUGAUUGAUUAUGUUGUUGUACUGAUGUGAACUUGAUGUAGCUUGUGGCGAGUGUAAGCCAAUUCCACAUACUUAUUUUUUCAGUACAUGUACUUGUAACAAUAUCCAUUCUUGCAAAACGACGAGAUGCGCUUCUAUCCCUGUCGAAGGCCCUCACGCCAAAAUAAGGAUAGGAUCACACCUUGGGCGUUACACUAGGCAUAUUACAUAGUUUCAAGUGUUGUCAUCUUUGCAGGAAUGACCCAUCAUGCUAUAAUCAUAUUCCCUCCUUUCAUUAGCAAGUUUUCUUAUAGGUAAGAAAAAAUAAUUGAAGGUACUAAAUAGCACAAUAGUAGGAUCCGAAAGGUGUGCCUUGGGAGGAACAUGAGGUUCUUCUUUAGGUUUUUCAUAAGUGAUAGUUAGCUCCUCAUUGUAUAAGUUCCGAUAGAGGUAUUUUAUUAAUUUUAUUUCAAGAUCAUAACCCAAUACAAGUUUUGGUAUAGCAAAUUGAUCCUUGUGUUUAGAAAUCUUAUGAACUAAUAUAUUAAGUGGAACCUUCUUUCUAAGAUUCUCAUCAUAAGCAACAUAGUGUGUGGAUCUUAGUUUUCUUAUUUCUUCCUACUCAUAAAGAAUCCCCUCUAUGUGUGGGCACUUAACAUUAACCCUAUAAUGAGAAAAUAUAUUUCUAGCUUCUUGUAUGAUAUUACUAAAUUCUUGACAAAUAAAUAUAGUAGCUAGACGUUUGGUGGAAGCUUCAUUGAUAUUAGAGAAUUCUAGAAACAACCAUUGCAUGAAAGGAUGCAUGUGCACUAAUUGUCUUUCCAAUUAUACUAUAAGCAAAGAUACAGCAUCCGCAUAACUUGUAGUUCUAGCAACACUAGAACCCCCUAUCAAUGGUAAUGAUCAUGCACAAGUGGAAAAAUCUUGAAUCACUCUUACCAAUAAUAUUACAACUACCUAUGCGGAAUUUCUUAGUCUCCAUAAUAGGUUCUACCUUAGAACGAUCAUCAUCCGCAAGAUUAUCAAGUUUUUAAUUAACAACUUCAUCAAAAUUUCUUUUAGCAUUCUCAUCACAAGGUGAAGUUGGAAAAAUCUAGGACUUACGCACUAGAGGCGGAGGCAUCACUAACUUAAAACUGAGACAUGAUAGCAACUUUCAAGCAAACUAGAGAGCGAAGAUGCAAACUAGUGACAAGCUAAGCAAGGAAAGGUAAAUAUUCUGAAUUUUUUAUGAGACAAAAUAAAUAUACCAUAAAAUAAAAAGGAUAACAAGUGAAUGAAAAUUUGUGUGAAGUUACUUGGUAGUUGGUGAUGAUAUUCCCUGACAAUGGUGCCAGAAAUCCUUCCUGAUACUUGUGAUCUGCAUUGGGUUUUCUGUGAAGAGGAACGGGUUAUCGCAACACAAUGUGGGUAAGUAUUUCCCUCAAUUAUGAAAGCAAGGUUUAUCGAAACAAUAGGAAUAUCAACCACAACCGUAUUCAACGGCUGCACACAAAAGAACAAACAACUUGCAUCCAGCGCGGGCAAGAGGGUUGUCAAUCCCCUCGAUCUUGAUAUUUGCAAGCAAGUGAGGUGUGUAGAUAAUUGUAAAUUGCAAAAUAAAAUGAAAACAAGUAAAUGGAAGCAAGGUAUUGAAGGUUUUGUAAAUAUAUGAUGAAUAGACCCAGGGCCCAUAGUUUUACCUAAUGGUAUCUCUCACUUAAAAUAGCAUAUGGUGGGUAAACAAAUUAUUGUUGGGCAAUUGACAAAAAAGCACAUAGUUAUGCGAUAUUCACAACAAUAAUCAUGUGUAUAUAGGCAUCACGUCCAUAAACAACUAGUCCAACUCCUCCCUGCACCUAUUACUAUUACUCCACUCAUCGACCGCUAUCUAGCAUGCAUCUAGAAUAUUAAGUAAAACAGAGUAAUGCAUGGAGAAUGAUGACAUGAUGUAGAAAAAGUAAACUCAAGCAAUAUAAAUAAACCCCAUCGUGUUAUCUUAAGUAGAAACAACACAAAGAUGCAUCUUGUCCUCUUCUAUCACUGGGAUAUACAAAUUUGCCAGGUUGAACCUACUACAACGCACCUCUCUCACCGAAGAAAUAUCAAUCUAGUUGGCCAAACUAUUGCAAUAGAUUGGAGAAAAUUACGAAGCUAUCAUAAUCAUGGACAUUGCUACCCCUUGAGCUUGCGUUGGUUUUCCCUUGAAGAGGAAAGUGUGAUGCAACGAAGUAGAUAAGUAUUUCCCUCGGUUUGUUGAGAACCAAGGUAUCAAUCCAGUAGGAGGAACAAACAAGGCCCCAAUCGUAGUACCUACACAAAGAAUCAAACUCUUGCACCCAACGCUAAAAAGGGGUUCUCAAUCCUUUCUGAGUUAUUUUCAAGGAUGAGACAUGAUAGAUAUAGAUAUAAAGAUUGCGUAAACAAAAGUAAAUAAAUUGCAGCAAGCUAUUAUUGGUAUUUUUGGUUUAUAGAUCUGAAAGUAUAAUAUGGAAAAUAGACUUGGGGGCCAUAGGUUUCACUAGAGGUUUCUCUCAUAAAGGAAAUAAUAUGGUGGGUGAACAAUGUAUUGUUGAGAAAUUGAUAGAAAAGCGAAUAAUUAUGAAUAUAUCUAAGGCAAGGACUAUGCAUAUAGGCAUCAUGUCUGUGUCAAGUAGACCGAAACGAUUCCGCAUCUACUACUAUUACUCCACACAUCGACCGACUCCUGCCUGCAUCUAGAGUAUUAAGUUCAUGAAAAACAGAGUAAGACAUUAACUAAGAUGACAUGAUGUAGAGGGAUAAACUCAAGCAAUAUGAUGAAAACCCCAUCUUUUUAUCGUCGAUGGCAACAAUACAAUAUGUGCCUCGCUACUCCUACUUUGUCACAGGGUGAGGACACCGCAAGAUUGAACCCAAAACUAAGCACUUCUCCCAUUGCAAGAAUUACCAAUCUAGUUGGUCAAAGGUGAGGACAUCGAAGGGAUUUGCUAAGAUGUGAAAUCAUGCAUAUAAGAAUUCAGAGGAGAUUCAAAUAAUAUUCAUAGAUAAUCUGAACAUAAACUCACAAUUCAUCGGAUCUCAACAAACACACCGCAAAAGAGUAUUACAUUGAAUAGAUCUCCAUGAAGAUCAUGAAGAACAUGGUAUUGAAGAUCAAAGAGAGAGAAGAAGUCAUCUAGCUACUAUCUAUGGACCCGUAGGUCUAUCGUGAAGUACUCACGCAUCAUCGGAGGGGCAAAGGAGUUGAUGUAGAUGCCCUCUGUGAUCAAUUCCCUCUCCGACAGAUCAACGAAAAAGGCUCCCAUAUUGGAUAUCACUGGAACAGAGGCUCCCGGCGGCGGAAAAGUAUUUUGUGUCUCUUUUUAGCGAUGGGGAAUAUUUGGGAAUUUAUAGGCCAAAGAAUAGGGUUAGUAGGCCUGCGGGGGACCCACAAGCCAAGGGGCGCGGCCAACCCCCUAGGGCAUGCCCUGCAGGCUUGUGGCCUUUCGGCACGUGCCCUGCCCUCUAUUACAAGUCUCCUCGGUUUCUUUUGGUCCAAGAAAAAUCUUUUUGGAUAUUUUGUUCCGUUUGGACUCCUUUUAAUAUUCCUUAUCUGGAAUACUCAAAAACAUGGAAAAAACAGAAAUUGACACUAGGCUCUAGAGUAAUAGGUUAGUCCCAAAAAUAAUAUAAAAUAGCAUAUUAAUGCAUAUAAAAUAUCCAAAAUAGAUAAUAUAAUAGCAUGGAACAAUCAAAAAUUAUAGAUACGUUAGAGACAUAUCAAGCAUCCCCAAGCUUAAUUCCUCCUCGUCCUCGAGUAGGUAAAUGAAGAAAACAGAAUUUUUGAUGUGGAAUGCUACCUAACAUAUUUAUCCAUGUAAUAUUCUCUAUUGUGGCAUGAAUAUUCAGAUCCAUAAGAUUCAAAACAAAAGUCUAAUAUUGACAUAAAAACAAUAAUACUUCAAGCAUACUAAUAAGGCAAUUGCUUCCGUUCAAAAUAACAUGGUCUUAGAAAGUUAUCCCUACAAAAUCAUAUGGUCUGGCUAUGCUCCAUCUUCACCACACAAAGUAUCUAAAUCAUGCACAACCCCGAUGAAAAUCGAGCAAUUGUUUCACACUUUUUAUGUUCUCAAACCUUUUCAACUCCCACGCAAUACAUGAGCGUGAGCCAUGGAUAUAGCACUAUAGGUGGAAUAGAGUAUGGUGGAGGUUGCAAAAAAAGGAGAAGAUAGUCUCACAUCAACUAGGCAUAUCAAUGGGCUAUGGAGUUCCCAUCAAUAGAUAUAUCAAUGUGAGUGAGUAGGAAUUGCCAUGCAACAAAUGCACUAGAGCUAUAAGUGUAUGAAAGCUCAAAAAGGAAACUAAGUGGUUGUGCAAAAGAUGUAAUUCCACUAGUUAUAUGAAAGUGACAAAAUAGGAGACUCUCUAUGAAGAACAUGGUGCUACUUUGGAGCACAAGUGUGGAAAAAUAUAAUAGCAUACUAGAAUUGUCCCUUUUGUCUUUCUCUCAUUUUUUCUUUUUUUGGAUGGGCUUCUUUGGCCUCUUUUAUUUUUUUAUGGGUUUCACUGGCCUCUUUUAUUUUUUGUAAACUCCGGAGACUCAUCCCAACUUGUGAGGGAAUCAUAGCUUCCAUCAUCCUUUUAUCACACGGGACAAUGCUCUAAUAAUGCAAAUCAUCACACUUUUAUUUUACUUACACCUCAAAGAUUACAACUCGAUAUCUAGAACAAAAUAUGACUCUAUAAGCAAUAUGGAAGUGAUGGUGCGUAUCAUAAAAAUGAGACGGCGGUGUUCCAUGGCAAUAUAUCUCGGAAUGGCUAUGAAAAUGCCAUAAUAGGUAGAUAUGGUGGCUGUUUUGAGGAAAAUAUAUGGUGGCUGUUUUGAGGAAGGUGGCUUUAAUGUACCGGCGAGAGUUGCGCGGUACUAGAGAGGCUAGCAAAAGUGGAUGGGUGAGAGUGCGUAUAAUCCAUGAACUCAACAUUAGUCAUAAAGAAGUCACAUACUUAUUGCAAAAGCCUAUUAAUUAUCGAAGCAAAGUAUUAUACGCAUGCUCCUAGGGGAAGGGUUGGUAGGAGUUAACCAUCGCGCGAUCCCGACCUCCACACAAAGGUUGACAAUCAUUAAACAAAUCAUGCUCCGACUUCAUCACAUAACGGUUCACCAUACGUGCAUGCUACGGGAAUCACAAGCUUGAACAAAAGUAUUUCUUCUAAUUCACAAUUACUUACUAGCAUGACUCUCAUAUUACCAUGUUCAUAUCUCAAAACUAUAUGCAAGAAUCAAACUUCUCGUCAUAUUCAAUGCAUUUAAUAUGAAAGUUUAUUAUAUCCCUCUUGGAUGCCCAUUAUAUUAGGACUAAAUUCAUAACCUAAACCAAUUACCAUGUUGUUUAAAGAACUCUCAAAAUAAUAUAAGUGAGGCACGAGAGUUUAAUAAUUUCCAUAAAACACCACACCGCCGUGCUCUAAAAGAUAUAAGUGAAUCACUAGAGCAACAUUGCCUAGCUCAAAAGAUAUAAGUGAAGCACAAAGAGUAUUCUAAUAAAUUCUCGUUUUAGCGUGUCUCUCUCAAACAAUGUGUGCAGCAAGGAUGAUUGUGUCAAACUAAAAAGUAAAGACUCGUAUUAUACAAGACGCUCCAAGCAAAACACAUAUCAUGUGGUGAAUAAAAAUAUAGCCUCAAGUAAAUUUACCGAUGGAUUGAAGACGAAAGAGGGGAUGCCUUCCGGGGCAUCCACAAGCUUACGCUCUUUGGUAUCCUUGAAUAUGGCUUGGGUUGCCUUGGGCAUCCUCAAGCUUAGGCUCUUGCCAGUCCUUAUUCCGUAGUCCAUCAAAUCUUUACCCAAAACUUGGAAACUUCACAACACAAAACUCAAGAGAAAACUCAUGAGAUCCGUUAGUAUAAGAGAAAUAAAUCACCACUUUAGGUACUGUUGUGAACUCAUUCUUUAUUUAUAUUGAUGUAAUAUUUACUGUAUUCCAACUUCUCCAUGGUUCAUACCCCCCGAUACAACCCAUAGAUUCAUCAAAAUAAGCAAACAACACAAAGAAAACAGAAUCUGUCAAAAACAGAACAGUCUAUAGUAAUCUGUUUACUUAGAAUACUUAUAUAACUCCAAAAAUUAUGAAAUAUUAGGAAUAUUUGGGUCAUUUGUAAAUCAAUCAUGUGUAAAAAAUUCAGAUCAAAAUCACGUUCCAGUGAAUUUUCAAAAUUCCUGGACUGAGAGCAAAAGUUUCUGUUUUUCAGCAAAAUCAACUUGCAAACACCGUAGAUCAUCCCAAAGGUCUUACUUGGCUCAAACACUAAAUAAAACAAGAGAACACAAUUAUUACAGAGGUGAUAAUGUGUGAAGCACUCAAAAACAGAAGCAAAAACAAAAGUAUAAAUAUAAAAUUGGGUUGCCUCCCAACAAACACUAUUGUUUAACGCCCCUAGCUAGGCAUAAUGCGAUAGAUCUAGGUAUUGUCAUAAUAGUAGGGGAGAACAUCAAUGCUCUUAUCAUACUCCCUUAUUUCAGCAGAAAGUUUCCUUUGUGGCAAGAAAAAGUAAUAAAAAGUGCUAAAUUCAAUAGGAUAAGGAUCGUUAAGAUCAAGUGCGGGAGGAAUAGGUUCCUCCUUCGGCCCUCUGUAGUGUAUGAUCAAUAAAUCAUUGUAGGCUUUCCUCUAGUGGAAGGUCAUAAGUCUAUCUGUUAGUAUGAACUCUAAUCAAUUAUUUUGUAUAGAAAAAUCAUCACUGAGUUCAAAAAUCUUAUCAACCAAAACCUCAAUAGGAACCCAUUUUCUCAAAAUUUUAUUAUAAGCAACAUAAUCCGGAGACUGCAAUCUCAUUAUUUCUUCUUGAUUAAAUAGGGUCUCCUCAAUGGGGGGACAUCCGCCAUUAAUUUUAUAAUGAGAAAAAAUUUCACUACCCUCUUUCGUGAAUCUUAACUCGUGAGCUAGAAAUAUAGUGGCGACAUGCUUAACGGAAGCAAGCUGAAUAUUAGAGAACUGAAGAAAAAUCCUUUGUAUGCAAGGAUGCAUAUGAAAAAAUUGUCUCUCAAGUUCAAUUAUUAAUAGUGUUAUGGAAUCUGCAAGACUAUUAGUUUUAUUUAGGAUAGACCUUCCUAAAGUAGGCAGCAUACCCGCACAAGUAAAGAAAUCUUGAAUAACACCUUUUCCAAUAAUAUUGCCGCUACCUAUGAGGAGUUUUUUUUUGUAUGCAUGAUAGUAGGUUCUCUGUGAUCAUUAUCUUCAAGAUUAUUACUAUCCGUUUCAAUGUAAACCUCCGAGUCCCAGGAUUCAGACAGGUGGUAAUGAAUAUAUCUAGCACACAAGCAAGCAAACGAAAAGACGAACGAAAAAAGGGCGAAUAAAAAGGCAAAUCUUUUUGGUAUUUUCUAAAAAUUGUUUUAGAAGUGGGGCAGAGGAAAACGAGAGGCAAAUGGCAAAUAAAGUAAAUGCAAUAGAUAAGUUUGUGAUGGGUACUUCGUAGGUUUGAACUUGCUAUGUAUCCUCCCCGGCAACGGCGCCCGAAAUCCUUCUUGCUACCUCUUGAGUUUGCGUUGGUUUUCCCUUAAAGAGGAAAGGGUGAUGCAGCGAAGUAGAUAAGUAUUUCCCUCAGUUUGUUGAGAACCAAGGUAUCAAUCCAGUAGGAGGAACAAGCAAGGCCUCAAUCGUAGUACCUACACAAAUAAUCAAACUCUUGUACCCAACGCUAAAAAGAGGUUGUCAAUCCCUUCAGAGUUAUUUGCAAGGAUGAGAUCUGAUAGAGAUAUAUAAAAAGAUUGUGGAAACAAAAGUAGAUAAAUUGCAGCAAGAUAUUCUGGGUAUUUUUGGUUUAUACAUCUGAAAGUAUAAUAUGGAAAAUACACCCGGAGGCCAUAGGUUUCACUAGAGGCUUCUCUCAUAAAGGAAAAUAAUAUGGUGGGUAAACAAAUUAUUGUCGAUCAAUUGAUAGAAAAGCGAAUAAUUAUGAAGAUAUCUAAGGCAAUGAUUAUGCAUAUAAGCAUCACGUCCGUGUCAAGUAGACCGAAACGAUUCUGCAUCUACUACUAUUACUCCACAGAUCGACCGGCUCCUGCGUGCAUCUAGAGUAUUAAGUUCAUGAAGAACAGAGUAACGCAUUAAGUAAGAUGACAUGAUGUAGAGGGAUAAACUCAAGCAAUAUGAUGAAAACCCCAUCUUUUUAUCCUCGAUGGCAACAGUACAAUACAUGCCUUGCUACCCCUACUUUGUCACUGGGUGAGGACACCGCAAGACUAAAUCCAAAACUAAGCACUUCUCCCAUUACAAGAAUUACCAAUCUAGUACCAAACCAAUAACUCGAAGAUACUUGCUAAGAUAUGAAAUCAUGCAUAUAAGAAUUCAGAAGAGUUUCAAAUAAUAUUUAUAGAUAAUCUGAACAUAAACUCACAAUUCAUCGGAUCUCGACAAACAUACGCAAAAGAGUAUUACAUCGGAUAGAUCUACAUGAAGAUCAUGAAGAACAUGGUAUUGAAGAUCAAAGAGAGAGAAGAAGCCCUCUAGCUACUAGCUAUGGACUCCUAGGUCCGUGGUGAACUACUCAUGCAUCAUCGGAGAGGCAAUGGAGUUGAUGUAGAUGAUCUCUGUGAUCAAUUCCCUCUCCGACAGAUUACUGGAAAAGGCUCCCGAAUUGGAUCUCACGGGAAGAGAGGCUCCCGACGGCGGUAAAGUAUUUUCAUUGAUCUUUUUAGCGAUGGGGGAAUAUUUGGGAAUUUAUAGGCCAAAGAAUAGGGUUAGGAGGCCUGCAGGGGACCCAAAAGCCACGGGGCGCGGCCACCCUCUAGGGUGCACCCUGCAGGCUUGUGGCCUCUCGGCAGGUGCCCUACCCCCUACUCCAAAUCUCGUGGGUCUCUUGUGGUCCAAGAAAAAUAUUUCCGGAAAUUUUGUUCCAUUUGGACUCCUUUUAAUAUUCCUUAUAUGCAAUACUCAAAAACAUGGAACAAACAGAAACUAUGACUAGGCUCUAGAUUAAUAGGUUAGUCCCAAAAAUAAUAUAAAAAAACAUAUUAAUGCAUAUAAAACAUCCAAAACAGAUAAUAUAAUAGCAUGAACAAUCAAAAAUUAUAGAUACGUUGGAGACAUAUAAGACAUAAGAAUCAUAUUAGUAUUCAUAGAAGACUCAAAUAUUUAUCGUGAAUAAUCUGAACAUAAAUCCAUAAUUCAUUGGAUCCCAACAAACGCACCGCACAAAGGGAUUACAUCAUAUGGAUCAAAGCGAAGAUUUGAUGAUCAUUGUAUUGAAGAUCAAGAGAGAGAGAGAGAGAGAUUGCCAUCUAGGUACUAGCUAUGGACCCGUAGGUGUGUGGUGAACUACUCACACAUCAUCAUGAGGGCAACAAGGUUGAUGAAGAGGCCCUCCGUGAUCGACCCCCCUCCGGCAGGGUGCCGAAAUGGAGCUCGAGAUGGCCUCCAGUCAUAACACAGACUUGCGGCAGUGUAAAAAGUGUUUCGGGACUACCUCUAGGUUUUUUAGAUCAUUUGAGAAUUUAUAAGCCAAAGAACGAAGGUGGGAGGGCCUCGAGGGGCCCACGAGCCAUCACGGCGCCCCUGGGCGCGUUGGGUUGUCUUGUGGGGCCCUCAGGUGACGUGCAACCUUCUUCCGAUGCUCGUUGGUCUUCUUUAGGUACAGAAAAAAUCUCCAACAAGUUUCAGGUCAAGUGGACUUCGUUUGGUAUGGAAAACUUGAAAAGUGAAAACAUGCGGAAAAUAACAAGUGGCACUAGGCACUUGGUCAAUAAGUUAGUGCUCAAAAAUAAUAUAAAUUGGUUAAUAAAUACCAAAAAUAUGCUACAAGGAUAAUAUCUGAGCAUGGAAAAAUCAAAAAUUAUAUAUACGUUGGAGACGUAUCAUAGUGCUUGUGGGGUGUGUUGCCUCCCGACAAGAUCGGCUCAUUGCCGAGGCGGUUUUGCAACAGCCCUACGCGAUCAUGACCCCAUGCCUAAAAGGUUUGUGAGGCCCUCGUUCUCAGCACACCGUGAGUGUUGAACAUAUGUUGUCUUUUGUACAUGUAUAGUACUAGAGUCUUGUACUUAUACCGUCGUACCUCCUCUCUCCCCUUUGUAUAUUUACAUGUCUCGGGAGACAAGUAGAGACCGGUCCACCAUGUACCUAUAUAUGUGCAUCAUGCACACAAUCAAUGAAUUAUCGAUGCAUGCAAACCCUUCUCUUCAACUAACAUGGUAUCACUUUAGCAUGUCGAUCCUCUCCUUGGUUCCACCCUAAAGAUGUCACCGCCACACCCUACCAUCGACGCCGCCCCUCUCGUGAUGCCGCCGCCGCACCCUACCGUCGACAUCGUCAUAGCCUGCCGCCAUCGCUGCUCCCCUCUUCCACCCCGCAGCCGCCACAUGCAUCAUGCCUCCCCCACUGCCUUCUCUCUCCACCCCGCCACCAAACCCUAACCGCCACCAAAACCCUAGCCGUAGCCGCCACCUCCAUGGAAUCUCCCUCAUCCUCCAUCCCUGGUGGCUCCAACCUGUUUUGUCGGCCUGACACUCCUAGCGAUGCUGACAUCCAUGACCUCAAUAUCCACGUCGCGUCCCCAUCAAACUAGAUCAAUCUAGUUCCUCCUACUUCGCAUGGAAGACCUACUUCAACCUCAUCAUGACAUAUAUUUUUCAUCGAAUGUAAUAUAUAUUUCGCAAGUUAAGUUGUCAACCUAAAAUGACAAGCAUGUCUUAUGAAAUGAGAUGAAGGAAGUACUCCAAACCCCCCUAUAAACCCAUUAUUUUACUUAGUCUUACUAUCACUUUUAUCGUUCCAUUUAAAUUUGAUCAAAACCUUAAAAUCGUCUAUUCCCUCCAUUUCAGUUUAUAGGGCCUGCAGGUAGUUUUAAGCCAUCGAUUUAACUAGCUAAAUAUCAGUUAUAUGUCAGCAAAAAUAUAUAAUUAAAUUCGUAAGUGAAUGUAGUUUUAAACAUAUAAUUUUGAUCAAACGUAACAUAUAUUUAGCUAGUUAAAUUGUCAACCUAAAAUGACACGCAUGUCUUAUAAAAUGAGAUGAAUGAAGUACUCCAAAUCCCCCUCCCCCCCAAAAAAAAAAGAAAAGAAAAACCUCUUAGGGCAUGUGCAAUGGUUGAUAAGAUGGUCUUAUCUUAAGUCUUACAUGUAAUCUAGAGAUGACAAAAAGUGUCUUAUAAUGAGUCAUAUCUUAGCCUAAUCUUCAAUAACUAGCUAAUCCUAAAAACAUGGUGAGACAUAUUGUGCUAAGAGAACACCUCUUGUUCUCUCUUAAAUAAGAGAAGACAAACUUUUUCUUACGAAUCUCUCUCCUCCACCUCAUCAUUUAUCCUACAUGGCACUACUAAGAUAACACCAUUGUACAUGUUUCAAAUCAAUAGUGAUUGUCUUAAUCUGUCGAUGGUUACAGGAGACCGUUUAUACUCUAUGGAGAGACACGACACUUGGAAAGGCAUCAGUUCCAGACAAACGCAUCCGUGCGGGAGGCAACCACCCGACGGUUGGGCAAGGGUAGAUUUACCCCUAAUUAUGAUGUGUAAUUAAUCUUAACACUCCCCUAAUCUAUGCUUGACCAUGUAGAAUCAUUACUCGAUUGUCCGGGUAGUGCCAUCAUCUCAAAAGGAUUCUCCCCCAAUCAGUUCUUCAUAAAAACUUGAUGAUAACCUGUAACAUAAACUCACAAAGAGAUAGCACAAUGUGAUGUCAUUGAACAAGGGUAUCUCAAGAAGUGACACCCCCUGAUGUGUGCAAGUCUCUAAGUCGUCGCAUACUAAUUCCAUGAACAUAUUUUUGGAAUUUUGAGUUUGGUAGAGACUUAGUAAAUAAAUCAGCAAGGUUGUCGCAUGAUUUGACUUGCAAGAUGCUUAUUUCCCCGCUUUUCUGAAGAUUAUGGGGAAAACCCACUUAGGAAAAAUAUGCUUAGUGAUAUUACUCUUGAUGUAUCAUGUUUGCAUCUGGGCAACCACAUGCCGCAUUAUUCUCAUAGAUAAUGGUGGGUGAUUCUAUUGAACCAAUUCCACAUGACUGUUGUAUGUAGUUUAUCAUUCUACGAAGCCAUACACAUUCACAUGAUGCUUCAAAUAAUGAAAUUAUUUCAGAAUGAUUUGUAGAUGUUGCCACCACAGUCUGUUUUGAAGAAUUCCAUGAUAUAGCGGUACCACCAUGUAGGAACACAAAACCGGUCUGUGAUAUGGCAUUAUGGGGAUCGGAUAAAUAGUUGGCAUCUGCAUACCCAAUCAUACCAGAGUCUAGAUUUCACUGGAACUAGAAGAAUAGGCCAAUAUCCUUUGUGCCUUGGAGAUAUAGAAAGAUAUUCUUUACUCCGGACCAAUGACGUUUGGUUGGAGCUGUGUUGUGUCUAGCAAGUAGAUUCACUGCAAAUACAAUAUCAGGUCUUGUGCAAUUUGCAAGAUACAUAAGUGCUCCAACAUCACCGAGGUAUGGAACUUCAGGUCCCAACACCUCUUCUCCAUCAUCCCUUGGUGUGAACGGAUCUUUCUCUACGUCUAGAGAUCGAACCACCAUAGGAGUUUUAGAUGGAUAGGAUUUGUCCAUAUUGAAUUUCUCCAAUAUUUUCUGGAUAUAUGCAGCUUGGUGUACUAUGAUUCCUGAGGGAAGGUGCUCAAGUUGAAUACCUAAGCAAAAUUUGGUUUUACCCAAAUCCUUCCUCUCAAAUUCCAUCUUUAGGUGAUUGUGUGCUUCCUCUAUGUCUAGUGUGCUGCCGAUGAUGUUGAGAUAAUCGACAUACACAGAAAUGAUGCAAAAUCUUUUAGGGGACUUCUUGAUGAAGACACAUGGGCAAUCAUCACUAUUGGAGUAACCUUUCAAAAGAAGGAACUCACUUAGUCGGUUGAAACACAUCUGCCCCGACUCUCUUAAGCCAUAUAAUGACUUAUUCAGCUUUACACAAUACAUGUUGCGUUUUGCACUGUUAUUCGGAACGGAGAUUCCGUCAGGAACCUUCAUAUAUAUGUCCGAAUCUAGUGACACGUAAAGAUAUGCGGUCACGACGUCCAUCAACUGCAUGGAUAGACAAUUUUGCAAUGCCAGUGAUAUAAGACAUCAAAAAGUGGUUCCACUCAUUACUGGAGAGUAUGUUUCAUUUAAAUCGAUGUCGGGUUCCUGCGUGAACCCUUGGGCUACGAGCCUCGCUUUAUAUCUCACCACCUCAUUGUUCUCAUUCCGUUUCUGGAGAAAAAACCCAUUUGAAUCCCGCGGGGAAGACACUAGGAGGUGUAGGUAUUGCUUCAGUGAAUACCUUUCUUUUGUUAAGCGAGGCAAUUUCUGCUUGGAUUGCAUCCUUCCAUUUAGGCCAGUUGGAGCGCCUUUGGCACUCAACUAUAGACCUUGGAUCAUGAUCAGUGAGAACGGUAUUUGCAAUCUUUUCAGCAAAAUAUAUGUCGACAGUCGUAGUCUUACGUUCAAAUGAUUCUCGAGAAUCAACAUAGUUGAUGGAAAUUUCCUACACCCCUAGAGAGUCUUCAUGAUUUCCCAAUACGAUUGAGGCUGGGUGUUCCGAUGUUCGAGCCAGUUUGUGCACACUAGAGCUGGGUUGUGGAGGUUUCCAUUGCACUGGGUGUAUACUACCAAUGAGGUGUUUGUCAAUGUUGAGUUGAUUUGCAUUUAGCGACUCCGAGGUUUUUCUCCUCGAUUUUCUUUCCUACUUGUUAGAAAUUGCUCCUCGUCAGAUGUCGUAAUACUACUCCUCUUUUUAGGAACGAGGAGUUGAGUAGUUUUGAUUGGUACCUCCACUCUUUCUGGCGCGUUACUCGCCGGAUUUAAGGAUUUUGUAACACCUUUCAGAUCAGUAAAUGAAUCUGGCAGAUUAUUUGCAAGAUGUUGCAAAUUAAUGAUCUUCCGAACUUGAAGUUUGGUCUCAUGGGUACGUGGAUCAGAGGAUGAAAUGGCAUGAGCAUUCCAAUCAAUUUUCGGGCAUUCUUUCUGGUACUUGAAAUCUCCCCCUAAUGACGGAAAAUGUUCCUCAUUGAAUAUGCAAUCAGUGUGACGGGCUGUGAACAGAUCCCCAUUAAGGGGUUCCAGGUACUUAUUAAUUGACGGUGAUUUGUACCCCACAUAGAUUCCCAACUUUCUGUGUGGGCCCAUAGAUGUCCGCUGUGGUGGUGAGAUCGGGAUGUAUGCAUCACAUCCGAACUUACGCAGAUGGGAAAUGCUAGGAGGAUUUCCACGUACCAAUCCAGAGGGGAGGAAGUGUGAUAUGCAGUUGGCCUUGAUUGUAUCAAGUUAGCAGCGUGUAAAACAGCGUGACCCCAACAAGAGGUUGGCAAGUUGCAAUUCGUCAACAAAGGUCUUGUAACGAUUUUAAUACUCUUGAUCAAUGCUUCAGCCAAUCCAUUUUGUGUAUGGACAUAUGGAAUAGAGUGCUGAACUUCAAUCCCCAAAGCCAUGCAAUAAUCAUUGAAAGCACACGAGGAGAAUUAUGCAACGUUGUCCAUUCGCAUUGACUUAAUUCAACUUUGAGGAUAAUGGGCUUGAACUAAAUGACUUGCCUCAUUAUCUUGGCAAAUGCAUGGUUCCGUGUGGUAGAAGACACACGUGUGACCAUCAUGUAGAUGCGUCAAUCAGAACAAUGAAAUACCUGAAGGGUCUAGAUAAUGGCUGAACGGGACCACAAAUGUCUCCUUGAAUACAUUCAAGGAACUGAAGUGGUUCAGCUUGUAUUUUGAGAUGUGAGUGCCUCAAAAUUAGCUUUCCCGUGGCACAAGAUGUGCACACAAAAUGAGAAGAUUGAGGAAAUUUUGACUCAAUCAAAUUAUGACCAAUGGAAUUGCUAGUAAUUUUUCGCAUGUUCGGGAUGGUCGAGGCGAUCAUGCCAGGUUUGUAAUGUGUCAACAUUCUGAAAAAUUACUUUGUAUGCAACAUGUUCCACGGGUUUGAUGUACGUAUAGUACAAACCAUACGAUAGAGAAGGAAUUUUCUCAUGUACUCCCUUUGUAAACUAAUACCAGCACAAUGCCCGUGCGUUGCUACGAAACUAUAAAAUACGAGGAGUUAGGUCACUGGCUUAGGAAAUCGUCAAAAUACGGUGGUGCCAUGUGAAAUUUGCUCGUGGUUCACUAUUAAAAAAGAUAAAAAAUACCACAAAAGAUUACGCGUCAGGCAUUGAAUCUUAAGUGACCAUGGUCCUUUACAAACACAACAUUUCGUAUUUUGAAACAUAUGAGAAUAGACAAUGGUACUGCACAAGGUCAUGGAUCAGGUAGGAGGAUAAGGUCUAUCAUCGUUUUCGAAUUACAAUCUGUUCACUCUCUUGUUCUGUGAUAUAAAACUAAAAUAACUUGGCUGGGAAAAAAGAAAAAGAAAAAUAAGAGCAUUAUAUUGAGUUGAAGUCGCAUUUCUGCAUUUGUUAUUUGUGCCCAAGUGUUAGUCUCACAUGAAUAGUAGUGUAUUGUUUAUUUGUGUUUGGUCCCACAUGUGAGCACAAAUACAUUUGUUUAUUUAUGUUCAUGGAAGGUCGCUAUUCUCAAUAUGGGUAGGGGUGCAUUUGUUUAUUGUGAAGGUUGUUGGUCCCAUAUGUGAACUCACCACCAACUCCAACCUUUAUAAGUAGGAAAUAUAAAAGUGUUUAGAUCACUAUUUUAAUGAUCUAAACGCUCCUAUAUUAGUUUACGGAGGGAGUACCUUUUUUUCCAUAUCAGUGAUCUUUAGUAAAGAGUAGAUACUCCUCUUUGUUUACUUCAUGGGUUUCAAUAUGAAAACCAAUCUUACGGAUAUCUCGAUAACUCAUCAGGGUACGUGAGGAGUCGGGAUACAAUAAAGCAUCCUCGAUCGUCACUUGUGUAACACUAGGGAGGGUGAAUAUGGCACGUCCAGUACCAACAAUCACUGUAUCGCGUCCAUCGAUAGUUAGAAUAUCUUCAUUCAUUUUUUUCAGAGUUUGAAAAAUAUUUUAUCUCCCUCGCUCUGGAGUUUGUGGCACCACUGUACACAAGGCAUAAUUCCUCUUCCAUUGGACUGUUCAUGUAGAAAGCGGCGGCGAGCGCUUUUCCUCUUCUCUCCUUCUCCGUUGCUCUUUUGCUCUUUCUAACACACAGUGCUGAUAACGUGAUUCAAAUCGAUAGUGAUUGUCUUAAUCCGUCGAUGAUUACAAGAGACCAUUUAUACUCUCUAGAGAGACACGACGCUUGGAAAGACAUCGGUUUGAGACAGACGCGUCCGCGCGGGAGGCACGGCGGUUGGGCAAAGGGAGAUUUACCCUAAUUACAAUGUGUAAUUAAUCUUAACAGUACAUGAUCUUAUAAACUUUUCUCUAAAAACAGUCGUCAAAACGCGUUAAACGCCCAUAGGCGGGCCAGCUGUCAGCCUGUCACCUCCGGACCCGCUAACCCGCGACUCGCCCCGAUAAAUAGCCCUCCACCCCUACGCCUUUCCCCACUACUACCAGCAAAGAUCUUCUGAUCUUCUCCUCCCUCUCUUAUUCUACCCAUCGUCGCCGCCGUCACAGAUCACACCUCUCCACCACCACCUCGUACGUCGCUAGUCGCUAUCACCAACCGAAGCAAUGGCCGCCUCCACCAUCGCGUCCAAGGCCCUGACCGUCCUCGCCUUCCUGUCGGUCGCCGCCUUCUCCGUCGUCUCCGCCCAGGACGCCCCGGCGCCCAGCCCCGUGUCCACAGCCGGCGUCGCGGCACCGUCCCUCGCAGCUGCGCUUGUCGCCUCCGGUGCCGCCUUCGUCUUCGCCGCCGUCCGCCACUGAAGCGACUGCCUCUAUCCUCUCCCGUCGAUGGCUCCGCUACAUAGUAGUACCGCCACAUAGUAGAUCCAUUUAUUUAUGUUAGCGAUUUGUUCGUUUGUAUCACUUUUGCCCAGAUCUGCGACUGUCUGUCACACGACAAUGGUGGUUUUAUCUCCUUCAGCGAUUGUACCCGUGUGCUUGUAGAUACUGCUAGUACUAUUUAUCCGGUUUGAUCUACUGGUACAAUCGCCCCAUUUAGUUUUGAUGAUGCUUGUUGUCUCCCCUGUUUUUUCGUGCUUGCGUUUAGUCUCGCGGAGUAAUUCUAUGAAAUCGUCAGUUGUGAUUCCUAAAUUUAGCAGAAUCGCGUCAUGUAGGUCAUAUAUGUUUGUAUUUUACUUGCUCUUCUUGGUGCACUUGAAGACGAUACCCAAGAUUUACUAUGACGUGCAGUAGGCGAAAACCUAUUACUAUUCCGUUCCACAAUAUAGGAAGCUGUUUUAGUUUUACCUUGCAAAAUCGUCCCAGGGGGAAUAUAGAUUUUUAAUUUAACAGCCCUUUGAAUUGGUACGCCACUUGGUUGUUCACAUCAGAACACUUGCAACGAAAAAAUAACUCCACAUAUUUGAGUAAAAACAGCCGGACUCGCCCAAGUUUUGUUGGGCAAACAUGCUUCUCGUAUCAAACCCUUGAAUUCAUGCAUACUGAUAAUAUAGCUUAAAUUCAUAUCAAUUCAACAAUACAACAAAGCAAAAAUAAAUAACAAUUCAACUAAUCAAACAUGUCAAAUAGCAUAAAUUCAUAUCAAUACAACAAAGCAACAAUAAAUCAUAAUUCAACAAAUCAAACAUGUCAAAAUAAAACUCAAUGUUCAAGCAGCGCCCGAGGCGUUCGCUGCUUCGAUGGUCCCUCCCCCCUCAUACUCCUUGUGUGGGUUGAUCUUCAUGCAAGUUGAAACCUUUCGUUCUCAAACUCUAUUCCAAUAGUCCGGGCCUUCUAGAGCUAUCAUUUGACACAUGCAUGCCUCAUGCUUCUUCAAGUCUGUCUUCUUCCUCUCAAUUUGCAACGGAAGGGAAAUAUCCACG
rnacentral:lncRNA from 1 species